AACGAACGCUGGCGGCAGGCUUAACACAUGCAAGUCGAGCGCCCCGCAAGGGGAGCGGCAGACGGGUGAGUAACGCGUGGGAACGUACCCUUUACUACGGAAUAGCUCCGGGGAACUGGAAUUAAUACCGUAUGUGCCCUUCGGGGGAAAGAUUUAUCGGUAAAGGAUCGGCCCGCGUUGGAUUAGCUAGUUGGUGGGGUAAAGGCCUACCAAGGCGACGAUCCAUAGCUGGUCUGAGAGGAUGAUCAGCCACAUUGGGACUGAGACACGGCCCAAACUCCUACGGGAGGCAGCAGUGGGGAAUAUUGGACAAUGGGCGCAAGCCUGAUCCAGCCAUGCCGCGUGAGUGAUGAAGGCCUUAGGGUUGUAAAGCUCUUUCACCGAUGAAGAUAAUGACGGUAGUCGGAGAAGAAGCCCCGGCUAACUUCGUGCCAGCAGCCGCAGUAAGAC
rnacentral:rRNA from 1 species